rnacentral:lncRNA from 1 species
GAGAGAGAGAGAAUGUCUUGAAGUUGAAGUUGUUCUGUAUAUUUUCUAAAGAUGGAGUUAAUUAUACGUGACAUUCUUUUGGCGUCUGUACAGAGAGUGGAGUCAUCCUGUUCAAAUUUUUCAUUUGGGGUGGAUGGAGUUGCUCUUUAUGGGGGCUGCGUCUGCAUUCCUUCACUCUCCUCUGUCCUACUAUUGCGGUUUCUUUUCUUGUUACUUUCUUUUGUCCGUGUAAUUCUUUGUAUGUCGUUGAAUAUGUAAACAUAUAGAAGUCCAAGAACUCCAUUUGUGAACUAAAUACAACAUGCUCGAAAACUUUUGUUCUAAGCAUAUCGGCUGGAGUAUUUUCUUCGUGCCCGUCUUCUCAGAACUCAUGAGCAUUUCAGCGCAAGUUUGAAAUAGUUGUAUCUUGCAAGUUUUGUGCCUACAGUCAAGUAACCUGUAGUAAUCUUGAUGUUUU